rnacentral:rRNA from 1 species
UACGGGGGGAGCAAGCGUUGUUCGGAUUUACUGGGCGUAAAGGGCGGGUAGGCGGCCACCGCAAGUCGACUGUGAAAUCUCCGGGCUUAACCCGGAAAGGUCAGCCGAUACUGCGGGGCUAGAGUGCAGAAGGGGCAACUGGAAUUCUCGGUGUAGCGGUGAAAUGCGUAGAUAUCAAGAGGAACACCUGAGGUGAAGACGGGUUGCUGGGCCAACACUGACGCUGAUGCGCGAAAGCUAGGGGAGCGAACAGG